AUCCUUACAAACUUCUAAUUUCGACCCGGCUAUGCAGCGGUUCAUGUCGAUGCGGGUGACCCAGUACGAAUCGUUCCGGCCGACGCUGGGUAACUUUUUCCGCGGCAUCGGCAUCACCGCCAUCCCGAUCCUGCUGUUCGCCCAGCUGAUGCACUGGGACCGGACGAGGAAGGAGAAGGAGUUCAGCACCGGCCAGGUGGCGUACAAGGACCGCCUCUGGAAGACCUACCGCUAGUCAGCUGGCCGGCUCGGGGGUGGUAUCGUGAAUGGUGUGAACUGAACUACAGAUGCAAAAUACAUUAGCUGAUCGUGUCA
rnacentral:misc_RNA from 1 species